UACGAAGGGGGCUAGCGUUGCUCGGAAUCACUGGGCGUAAAGCGCACGUAGGCGGAUUGCUAAGUCAGGGGUGAAAUCCUGGAGCUCAACUCCAGAACUGCCUUUGAUACUGAAGAUCUUGAGUUCGGGAGAGGUGAGUGGAACUGCGAGUGUAGAGGUGAAAUUCGUAGAUAUCGGGAAGGAACACCAGUGGCGAAGGCGGCCAC
rnacentral:rRNA from 1 species